AGACCAUUUUUUUUGUCCCAUUUUCUUCAUUUUCUCUUCAUUUCUUCAAGCUAAAUCAAAAGGGAGUGUGCUUAGGAGGAUUAUAUCCAAGAAAACAAAUUAAAUGACAACUUAGAGAGUUAUAGAGCUUGAGAGAAACAAAGAGAAGAAUCUGGAAAUUGGAAGAGGAGGACAUGAUUUUUGUAAAUUUUUGCAAGAAUUCAUUGAAAUAAGUUAAAGUAGCAAAGACUUCGUUUGAGGGCUGUCACCGGAGGAAUAUUUCUGGAAAAUCACCCUUUAAGACAGCUUUGUUCGUCGGCCGUUAUAUCAUCGUUUCACCGUUGGAUUGGUCUGGAUUUUCAACAUGUUGUUCAUCCAGAUGUUAUAUAAAUUCUGAACGGUUUGGAUCGGAAAAGAACACUCCUACCAAAAAUUGUACUUCCCGAACAGCAGGUCUCCAAAUUUCAGGAGAAGCAUUCACUCGACUUCUCAGGAGCUCGUAUAGUAGGAGCUUAAGGAGGGACUGCAAGAGGGGCACAACAACAACAAGGAAGAGCGAGUUGAGCUUCUGCAGCUGGAUGGAGACAAAUAUCGUAUCGCUUGGGACGUGAGAAUAGAAGUUCAUUAACCAUGGUCCUUCAGAUUCACGUCAGGAGUAGCGUUUUAGGUCCUCUAGUCUCCUUUUGUAUGAUUGAAUAAGAAGAUGAACAUUAAUGUAUUUUGUCUUUAAGGAACUAAAUGACUUAAUAUGUAAUAGUACUCCUUUUACAUUAAGUGUCGGACAUAAAAAUGUAUUAUUCUGUAUUUGUAA